UUGAGAGCAUGCCCAGCGGGAUGGGUGUUGGAGACAGGAGGGUUGAUGCAGUUGCCCGUGCUUGCUCCGGUUGCCCGUUUUGCUGGUGCCUGGUGUGAGGGCUGAAGGAAGAAGGGGUUGGCAGCUGGAGGUGAGCAAGAGCUCCUGCAGAGCGAGGAGAGCCAUUGGCUGUGUGGGACACGGUGGCUGGCCUGCUUGGAGAAGCACUUGUGGUGCCAAGGGCACGCCCGUUGUGAGGCUGGGCUCCUUUGAGAGCAUGCCCAGCGGGAUGGGUGUUGGAGACAGGAGGGUUGAUGCAGUUGCCCGUGCUUGCUCCGGUUGCCCGUUUUGCUGGUGCCUGGUGUGAGGGCUGAAGGAAGAAGGGGUUGGCAGCUGGAGAGCCAUUGGCUGUGUGGGACACGGUGGCUGGCCUGCUUGGAGAGGCACUUGUGGUGCCAAGGUACGUUCCUCUUCCUCUCCUCCUCUUCUUCCUGCUCUCUUUCUCUUCCUCCCCUACUGCAUGCCCAGCACGCGCAGCAGAUUGAUGCUGACUGUCUUGGUCAGUGUGGUAGCAGAGGAGGUCCUCUGUCUUUUGUCCUUGUUCAUUGCCUCCACCUUCUUGUUCUGGGCUGUCCUGUUUCUUCUGCGCUGCCCUCUAAAGGGUUGGUUCUUUGUUUUUCUAUUGCUGUUUGUCAUGGUGGAGUGAGCGUGGUGGUGUUGGGGAGGAGAGGGUGGGCAUAGGUGGUUAGAGUGCGAGCGUGGGAAGGAGCGAGUGGAAGAUGGGGACGAAAGAGAAG